AUCCAGCUGACGAGUCCCAAAUAGAAUGAAACGCGGGUCCUCGACUGCAU
rfam:Schistosoma margrebowiei strain Zambia genome assembly, scaffold: SMRZ_contig0002586